rnacentral:rRNA from 1 species
AACGAACGCUGGCGGCAGGCCUAACACAUGCAAGUCGAGCGGACCCUUCGGGGUUAGCGGCGGACGGGUGAGUAACGCGUGGGAAUAUGCCCUUCUCUACGGAAUAGUCCUGGGAAACUGGGGGUAAUACCGUAUACGCCCUUUGGGGGAAAGAUUUAUCGGGGAAGGAUUAGCCCGCGUUGGAUUAGGUAGUUGGUGGGGUAAUGGCCUACCAAGCCGACGAUCCAUAGCUGGUUUGAGAGGAUGAUCAGCCACACUGGGACUGAGACACGGCCCAGACUCCUACGGGAGGCAGCAGUGGGGAAUCUUAGACGAUGGGGGCAACCCUGAUCUAGCCAUGCCGCGUGAGUGAUGAAGGCCUUAGGGUUGUAAAGCUCUUUCAGCUGGGAAGAUAAUGACGGUACCAGCAGAAGAAGCCCCGGCUAACUCCGUG